UAAAGCUAUUAAUGCUGCGUGCAGAA
rnacentral:piRNA from 1 species